rnacentral:rRNA from 1 species
CAGUUAAAAAGCUCGUAGUUGGAUUUCUGCAGGAGUGCCAAUGUCCGACCACGUUCGUGUGCAGCGGCGCCCCUGCAUCCUUCGGUUACCUCCGCUCGGCAUUCACUUGCCGGCGGUUGGCUCCGAAUAUUUACCUUGAGAAAAUUAGAGUGUUUCAGGCAGGCUUGUCCGGAAUACAUUAGCAUGGAAUAAUAGAAUAGGACUACGGUCUCGUUGUUGGUUUGAGGGACUGGAGUAAUGAUUAAUAGGGAUAGUUGGGGGCAUUAGUAUUUAAUUGUCAGAGGUGAAAUUCUCAGAUUAACUAAAGACUAACUUAUGCGAAAGCAUUUGCCAAGGAUGUUUUCAUUAAUCAAGAACGAAAGUUAGGGGAUCAAAGACGAUCAGAUACCGUCCUAGUCUUAACCAUAAACUAUGCCAACUCGGGAUCGGGGGCGUGUAAUUAUCCGCCUUCGGCACCGUAUGAGAAAUCAAAGUCUUUGGGUUCCGGGGGGAGUAUGGUCGCAAGGUUGAAACUUAAAGGAAUUGA